rnacentral:rRNA from 1 species
AUUGUAGUCUGCAACCCGACUACAUGAAGCUGGAAUCGCUAGUAAUCGCGGAUCAGAAUGCCGCGGUGAAUACGUUCCCGGGUCUUGUACACACCGCCCGUCACACCAUGGGAGCCGGUAACGCCCGAAGUCAGUGACCCAACCGAGAGGAGGGAGCUGCCGAAGGCGGGACAGGUAACUGGGGUGAAGUCGUAACAAGGUAGC